UACAGAGGGGGCAAGCGUUGUUCGGAAUUACUGGGCGUAAAGGGCGCGUAGGCGGCCUGUUAAGUCGAACGUGAAAUCCCCGGGCUCAACCCGGGAACUGCGUCCGAUACUGGCAGGCUUGAAUUCGGGAGAGGGAUGUGGAAUUCCAGGUGUAGCGGUGAAAUGCGUAGAUAUCUGGAGGAACACCGGUGGCGAAAGCGGCAUCCUGGACCGAUAUUGACGCUGAUGCGCGAAAGCCAGGGGAGCAAACGGG
rnacentral:rRNA from 1 species